rnacentral:lncRNA from 1 species
ACCUCGGUAGCGGCGGGAGGCGAGGUGGCACGCUGCGAGCAGCAGCACGGCCACCAGCGCCAGCACCUUGGCGCUCCUCACGCUGAAGUAGUGGUUGAUCUCCCGCUUGCCCAGGUUGUAGGCCAGAGCCGCCAUCUUGGUUCCUCCAUGACAACAGUGCGCGGCGGAGCGGGAAAGGGGCGCCGCACAGGGGCAGCACUGGGGCUGCCGCCGCUGCAGCCAGGCGAGGAGCGGCCGCCAGCUCCCCAGGCCGCCACCUGCGCCUCCCGCCGGGGAACCUGACCCCGCGGCCGCGGCGCCCCCGACCUCCGCCUGCCCCUCCUCGGCCGCGGCCGACUCGGCGGCCUCCCCCCAGCCCCGCCGCCGCUGCUCCGCCGUGCCGGUUCCCCAGGCGCCCUGGACGCCUGUCUCCUCCCCUUCCUCCUCCUCUUUAGCCUCCUGCCUUAAUAGCGGCUGCGCCUGCGAGGGGGGUCCGGAUGCCCAGUGCUCCGGGGUCACCGGGUCACGCGCCCCGGCGGGCGGCGGCGGCUGCGGCAGAGCCAUGGGGGUGUGGGGAGAGAGUACUAGGGGUACCCGCCUGGCCCGGACGCGAGCCUUAGGGCUGUCUCCUAGUUUACUGGCCGCUACCUGAGCCCAGGUUGGGGCAAUAGAACUACAGUUCCGGGAGAAAAGUACACAUCGUCCCAUUCCUUCCUUCCCCAACACUCCCCUUUCUCAGCCUUCUACUGCCAGAACCCGCCCAGCGGGAUGCGAAGGACACCCUAAGGUCGUUUAUUGUCUGGCUAUCCGUGGCCUGGCUGGUCAGUCUGGCUGCCCCUGGGUGCUGGCCAGAUUGGAUUGAUGGAUCCAGUUGAUGGUGCUGGCCGAUGGAUUGCUGGCAUCCAACCCAGGAGUGAAACCAGUCUUAACACUUAACUCACCGCUCUGGCCAGUUUCUCUUAAACCGUUUUUUUAAUGUCCUCAGUUUGCCCAGUUCUGGUGGGCGAAAGUACACCAAAGUUCCGAAUGGAAGGUACAGAAGGAGCCUAACUUAGUGUAGGUGUUGAUGAGAAAAGAGUCUGACUCUCACUUGUAUUUACGCAAGUUUGGCUAGGUCGAUGUGCCAAAAAAAUUCGUUUUUUUUGAGAGGGAGUCUCACCCUGUCGCCCAAGCUCUAGUGCAGUGGCGUGAUCUUCGCUCACUGCAGCCUCCCCCUCCUGGGUUCAAAUGGUUGUCCUGCCUGAGCCUGCCGAGUAGCAGAGAUUGCAGGCGCCCGCCACCACACCCGUUUAAUUUUUGUAUUUUAAUAGAGACGGGGGUUUCACCAUUUUGGUCAGGCUGGUCUCGAACUCCUGACCUCAAAUGAUCUGCCCAUCUCGGCCUCCCAAAGUGCUGGGAUUACAGGCAUGAGCCACCAAGCCUAGCCAAAAAAAAUUUUUCUUAAUGUGCUUAUGACAAUCAUCCCCGCUACUAACGUUGGUUAAUGUUUUGUGAUUCUCAAUAAAGCCAGCACUCCAUUUCCUUAAUAAAGCAUUGUUAUCCCUACUCUCCUCUCGCUCCCACCCCACCUUUUUUAAAUGGUUUUUC